AAAAUAAAAAGGGAGAACUAAAAGACCCGUUAUUUAAAGCAACGGGUCUCUCCAUGCGGAGCCACGGAUUUAAAAAGAAGGAGAAAAGGAAGAGACCCCUUAUUUGUUUACCGGGUCUUUUGCUCUUCCUUCUUCAAAUCUCCCCACAAAUUAAAUGGCAAUAAAUAAGGUCUUUUCCAUCUCUCUUCCUCCAUACCACACCUCUCGAUCUGAGAGACCAAAGUGUAGAAAAUCUCCGCGAUGUUGGAGAAUCCAAGGUUCAACGCUUCAAAAUAUUCUCAGAUCUAAACCAGAAGAAAUUAUGGCAUAUGCUAAUUUUCAACCUCGAAGAGUUCAUCGCUCUAGCUAUUUUACAGAGAACAUAGCUUUUUGAAUAUGCAAAGUUUCUUGGGAACUCUCAGUUUUCUCUGCUUCAACUCCAGUCAUACAAACUUGUAUAUGCGCACAUGUUGGCCGAGGUUGGAAGGAUUUCGGAUUCAUUGAAAUACUGUCAAGCUGUUUACAAAUCUCUCAAAAUUGGACGAUCACCGGAAGAAGAUACAUUGAAACAGUUAUUAUCAUCUCUCGAAGAGAGGAUUAGGACACACCAACAGAGUGGAUAUGCAGCUAACUUGGCUCCAGGAAAGAUAGUGGUUAAAUUGCUCAACUUUUUUGAUAGUACAGUUCAUCGCAUUGCUCAACUUUUUUGAUAGUACAGUUCAUCGCAUUGUUGAUAGUACUGGUUAAAUGUGUUUCCCAAGACUGUUGUGACUCACGAAUAAUCUGCCGUAGGUGAUUUUGAUCUACUUACCUCUUGAUUUGUUUGAGUUUUCAAUUAAAUAGCUAUCUCGACCUCUAUUUUGGUGUUUUAGUUCCAAAACUCUUUCAGAAUAGGCAUUUGUUUUUAUUUUGGCUCCUCCAAGUCUUAUUUUGUGUUUCCUCGUUUCAUGAACAAGUGAUCGGGCUGCUGAUGAGUCUCAGAGCAAUCAAGUGAAAAGAAAGAAGAUGCUGACCAAAUAAGUAAUGGUAUUGGGAGCGCUGCGGUGCAAGUUUUCCAGGUACAAUCCGAUGUUCUUCUCAGACAUGAAUUUAGUAAGCAAGUACAAGAGACAGAUUAUUUCUGAACCACAUAUACUUGCAAUUGCAUUUGUGUCGUUGCUUCAGGUUAAAAAUUGUUUGAAUGUAUGUUGGGUGAAAAGGAAGAAUAAUAAGAAGAAAAAGGCUAACACAAGCAAGCAAAAACAAAAAUACAGUAGGUGCCACAAGUUUGCCGGUUUUGCAAAGUGUGGCAGGCUUAUUGGCUAUAUGAACAUUGAGAUGAUUCCAUUAAAGUUUGUGAAGCAUUAGAGGAAAACUUGAUGAAUAUGGAAUGCAGAUUUGACAAUUAUAUGAAGUUGCUUGAGGAGGAAGGAUGCCAACACACAUAAACUUAAGCUGAAUGUACCCAAGGAACCCUUAAUUGAGUUUGAUGACUAACUUGAAUCGUUGAUUGUAGUGAAAGUUGAACCAAGUGCUCAUAUUUCAAUUCUCCAUUAUAGAGUGGCUAAUGGCUAAAGAUAUGUUCUGUCAUGAAUUAUUUGUUUUUGUAGAAGGUUUUUAUUGUGACACAAGUUGUAGAAGAUUUUGAUGAAAUAUUUAUUUAUUUAAUUGUUUGUUAAUAAAAAUAUUUUGUCAUUUUUGUGUGUAGUUCAUUAUUGGAGCGUAAUAAUAGUGGUUAGUGCGCAGACAGAGAUGCAGGGUAUUGUUUUUUUUUUUUUUUAAAUAAAAAUAUUGCAAAGAGACCUGUUAUCUUACCUAGUGGGUCUCCAUAAAACGAACAAAGAGACCUGUUAUCUUACCUAGUGGGUCUCUGUGAAACAAACAAAGAGACCUCAUAUCUUAGGUAUGGGAUCUUUUCCC